rnacentral:rRNA from 1 species
GUGUCAGUAUCAGUCCAGGUGGUCGCCUUCGCCACUGGUGUUCCUUCCUAUAUCUACGCAUUUCACCGCUACACAGGAAAUUCCACCACCCUCUACCAUACUCUAGUCAGUCAGUUUUGAAUGCAGUUCCCAGGUUGAGCCCGGGGAUUUCACAUCCAACUUAACUAACCACCUACGCGCGCUUUACGCCCAGUAAUUCCGAUUAACGCUUGCACCCUCUGUAUUACCGCGGCUGCUGGCACAGAGUUAGCCGGUGCUUAUUCUGUCGGUAACGUCAAAAUUGCAGAGUAUUAAUCUACAACCCUUCCUCCCAACUUAAAGUGCUUUACAAUCCGAAGACCUUCUUCACACACGCGGCAUGGCUGGAUCAGGCUUUCGCCCAUUGUCCAAUAUUCCCCACUGCUGCCUCCCGUAGGAGUCUGGACCGUGUCUCAGUUCCAGUGUGACUGAUCAUCCUCUCAGACCAGUUACGGAUCGUCGCCUUGGUGAGCCAUUACCCCACCAACUAGCUAAUCCGACCUAGGCUCAUCUGAUAGCGCAAGGCCCGAAGGUCCCCUGCUUUCUCCCGUAGGACGUAUGCGGUAUUAGCGUCCGUUUCCGAACGUUAUCCCCCACUACCAGGCAGAUUCCUAGGCAUUACUCACCCGUCCGCCGCUCUCAAGA